AUGUCUUACAUUUGGGGUUUUUUGGGGGUUUUUUUAGGUGGUUUUGGUGUAGCAAAGAACCUGUGUUCCUGGGCUGUAGAUGGCAAGAACUGCACUGUCAACGAGCACGUGAACUCCACACUCCAAGCUUUCCACAGUGCUAAAAAGCCUAUUGGUUUGUGCUGUAUAUCACCAGUCCUGGCAGCUAAAGUCUUUCCUGGUUGUGAGGUCACAGUCGGCCAAGAUAAAAACGUAGAUGGAAGAUUUCCUGAUGCUGAAACUGCAUCUGCUAUAGCAGAGCUUGGAUGUAAGCACAUUUGCAAAAAUGUAAAUGAAUCCCAUGUGGACAAAGCCAAUAAAAUAGUUACUACCUGUGCUUUCAUGUGCAAGGCUCCUCUGCAUGAAAUCUUUGAUGGAAUUGGAACAAUGGUACAAGAAGUCCUGAAACUUGCCUGACUGGAAGCUUACAGGCUUCUGCAAGGAAAUCAGUUUAGCUAAGCAUAAGCAUGUAGCUUCAUUUGAUUGUGUUAAUAAAAUAACGCAACUAUUAAACUU